rnacentral:rRNA from 1 species
AUUGAACGCUGGCGGAAUGCUUUACACAUGCAAGUCGAACGGCAGCACGGACUUCGGUCUGGUGGCGAGUGGCGAACGGGUGAGUAAUGUAUCGGAACGUGCCCAGUCGUGGGGGAUAACGUAGUGAAAAUUACGCUAAUACCGCAUACGAUCUAUGGAUGAAAGCGGGGGAUCGCAAGACCUCGCGCGAUUGGAGCGGCCGAUAUCAGAUUAGGUAGUUGGUGGGGUAAAGGCCCACCAAGCCAACGAUCUGUAGCUGGUCUGAGAGGACGACCAGCCACACGGGAACGGAGACACGGUCCAGACUCCUACGGGAGGCAGCAGUGGGGAAUUUUGGACAAGGGGCGAAAGCCUGAUCCAGCCAUGCCGCGUGCAGGAUGAAGGCCCUCGGGUUGUAAACUGCUUUUGUACAGAACGAAAAGGUUUCUACUAAUACUAGGAGCUCAUGACGGUACUGUAAGAACAAGCACCGGCUAACUACGUGCCAGCCGCCGCCGUAA